CUGGAGGUAUCAGAAGUGCGAAUGCUGACAUAAGUAACGAUAAAGCGGGUGAAAAGCCCGCUCGCCGGAAGACCAAGGGUUCCUGUCCAACGUUAAUCGGGGCAGGGUGAGUCGACCCCUAAGGCGAGGCCGAAAGGCGUAGUCGAUGGGAAACAGGUUAAUAUUCCUGUACUUGGUGUUACUGCGAAGGGGGGACGGAGAAGGCUAUGUUGGCCGGGCGACGGUUGUCCCGGUUUAAGCGUGUAGGCUGGUUUUCCAGGCAAAUCCGGAAAAUCAAGGCUGAGGCGUGAUGACGAGGCACUACGGUGCUGAAGCAACAAAUGCCCUGCUUCCAGGAAAAGCCUCUAAGCAUCAGGUAACAUCAAAUCGUACCCCAAACCGACACAGGUGGUCAGGUAGAGAAUACCAAGGCGCUUGAGAGAACUCGGGUGAAGGAACUAGGCAAAAUGGUGCCGUAACUUCGGGAGAAGGCACGCUGAUAUGUAGGUGAAGUCCCUCGCGGAUGGAGCUGAAAUCAGUCGAAGAUACCAGCUGGCUGCAACUGUUUAUUAAAAACACAGCACUGUGCAAACACGAAAGUGGACGUAUACGGUGUGACGCCUGCCCGGUGCCGGAAGGUUAAUUGAUGGGGUUAGCGCAAGCGAAGCUCUUGAUCGAAGCCCCGGUAAACGGCGGCCGUAACUAUAACGGUCCUAAGGUAGCGAAAUUCCUUGUCGGGUAAGUUCCGACCUGCACGAAUGGCGUAAUGAUGGCCAGGCUGUCUCCACCCGAGACUCAGUGAAAUUGAACUCGCUGUGAAGAUGCAGUGUACCCGCGGCAAGACGGAAAGACCCCGUGAACCUUUACUAUAGCUUGACACUGAACAUUGAGCCUUGAUGUGUAGGAUAGGUGGGAGGCUUUGAAGUGUGGACGCCAGUCUGCAUGGAGCCGACCUUGAAAUACCACCCUUUAAUGUUUGAUGUUCUAACGUUGACCCGUGAUCCGGGUUGCGGACAGUGUCUGGUGGGUAGUUUGACUGGGGCGGUCUCCUCCUAAAGAGUAACGGAGGAGCACGAAGGUUGGCUAAUCCUGGUCGGACAUCAGGAGGUUAGUGCAAUGGCAUAAGCCAGCUUGACUGCGAGCGUGACGGCGCGAGCAGGUGCGAAAGCAGGUCAUAGUGAUCCGGUGGUUCUGAAUGGAAGGGCCAUCGCUCAACGGAUAAAAGGUACUCCGGGGAUAACAGGCUGAUACCGCCCAAGAGUUCAUAUCGACGGCGGUGUUUGGCACCUCGAUGUCGGCUCAUCACAUCCUGGGGCUGAAGUAGGUCCCAAGGGUAUGGCUGUUCGCCAUUUAAAGUGGUACGCGAGCUGGGUUUAGAACGUCGUGAGACAGUUCGGUCCCUAUCUGCCGUGGGCGCUGGAGAACUGAGGGGGGCUGCUCCUAGUACGAGAGGACCGGAGUGGACGCAUCACUGGUGUUCGGGUUGUCAUGCCAAUGGCACUGCCCGGUAGCUAAAUGCGGAAGAGAUAAGUGCUGAAAGCAUCUAAGCACGAAACUUGCC
rnacentral:rRNA from 1 species